rnacentral:rRNA from 1 species
AUACGGAAGGUCCGGGCGUUAUCCGGAUUUAUUGGGUUUAAAGGGAGCGUAGGCCGGAGAUUAAGCGUGUUGUGAAAUGCCGCGGCUCAACCGUGGCACUGCAGCGCGAACUGGUUUUCUUGAGUGCGCGCGACGCAGGCGGAAUUCGUGGUGUAGCGGUGAAAUGCUUAGAUAUCACGAGGAACCCCGAUUGCGAAGGCAGCUCACAAAGCCAUUAUUGACGCUGAGGCACGAAAGUGUGGGGAUC